rnacentral:lncRNA from 14 species
AAGCAAACACAGAAGCUUCUUCUUGUUUCCUCUUCUAAAAUUUUUCUUCUGUGGUCUGCCCUACAUGCAUAUUACUCAGUUAUGCAGACAGAUCUUCUAGCAAAAAUACUUGUACAUCCAUCAAUAUGAGCCUUUCUUCUUGUUCUUUAUCUCUGUGCACAUGCAUCGUCCAGUCCCUAAGAGUUUCUUCUAGUUCCUCUUUGUCAUCCUUGGUGUGGAAGUUUGUUCUUUUCCCUUUUCCCUUCUCCACCUUGGUAGACCCGAUGCUGUUCUUCACAUUGUUAUUCCCUACAGUGCGGAAUGCUCAAACUUUUCUUUCCAUUCCUGAUAUUCCCCUUCCGAACCUAAGCAAAAAUUUGCUGUUGGUACUUCUGAAGGAGCAGCACAGCAGGAGUACCAGUAUAGACAGGCACAGGUUUGGUUCCUUUGGCUUGCUCCUUGCUGGGCCAAGUGUCAACAAUGAUGCUUGUUGCUGAAGUCCUGGCUGUAGUAGUACCUCUGCUGGUGGAGAUGCCUUGGAGGAAUGCUGAGCCACGGCUAAAGGGGGAAGAAAAGAUCUCUAUAUCCACCAUCCUGAUAUGUUUCCUUCAAAAGGUCAAAACAUGGUCGUCAGGGAAAAUGGGAUGGUUGCCAAAACUUCAGUGUGUGAUAGGUGCCAUAUUGCAUUAUUCUCCGAAUGGUGGAAUACAGUUUGGGAUUCUUCAGGGGUGGCUAACACAGUACAAACUGUACCAUACAGCUGCUGAAUGUCUUAACCAUUUGGAUUCAAACAUAACUUCUGGAAGAAGUGGAGGAGCCUCUUGCCAAAAUUUGAGGAUAUUGUGUAAAAUGCUGCUGAGACCCAUUUGGAUUAUACUGCCAUCUGACAUCAAGGUUCUGCAGCUAAUGAAAGGAAUUCUCCAGAUCUAUUUGUUGUGUGGUUGCUGAAGCAUUAUCCUGGGACAGCAGUAAUGAUUGAUGAACACCCUUCAGGUAAUGUCUUUAUUCUCCCACGAGAUGGAGGCGGACCACUCUACCAGCUGUCAAGGCAAAUAUUGUUGUAUAGCCCUUGUGGUCAGCAGCAUCCUCAAUGUCUGGUGAUGGGGUGCCUUGGAAGGAUGGCACAGAACAAGCUUCAUACUACCUCAUACAAGCUCCAUACUCUCAGGCUCUCUGUGCUAGGCCGAAAGCUGGGAGCAGGAAGCGGCUGCACCCUGAUGGCUGUCAUUUCCCCUGCGCACAACUCCUGUUUACUGCCAGCUGCUUUCUUACAGACACAUUGCCCGAGCUUUGACACGACUGGGCCCGCCGCUGACUCAGAACUAGUAAACUUUGUGUGGCUAUCGGCUCAUUUGUGCUGUUCUUUGCAUACGACAAGGUCAGCCUGGGGAAAGAAAAAUACAAUCAAAAAUAGUCAUAGGAUCUUUCACAAUCCUCUGCUCGGAUUAGGGUACGUGUGUUCCCACUGAGUCAGUAAAUGACAGCAGCAGGGAACGUCUCAAGUGGACAGUGGGGAGCUGGGCAGACCUCUGAUGCAGAAGCUGCUUUUCCAGCAGGAUGUGGAGGAGAUCCUGGUAGACUGAUGGCUGGCUGCCCGGUUUGCAAUGUGUCCUGUCAGGCCUCUGUCUGAAUUCCUCCCCCUGUGAAAGCUUUCAUUACAUUUGUCACUUGAUACAUUAGUUUGUUUUAAUGCACUGGAACCCCACGUACAUUUAACAACCGCUUUCUUCUUGUUUUAUGGGGCUCCACUGUGUUUGGAAAGGAAUUAAAGCAUUUGAAAGGCUUGGCAGUUUCAUUAGAGAUGGACAUCCAAUCCAAAUUAGUAUAACUCACUUAAAAUUGAAGUAAAAUGUUUUCAGGAGAGUGAUCUGAUAAAUAUUGGCUUAAACUAAUUGGAUUUUCAAUAGACAAAUUACUGCAUUUUUCUCAUUACUUAGUGCUCUGUAAGACUUUCAUGUUGUAUGGGAGAGUACAGCUCCCUGCUAUUGAGCUGAGGAGAGAAAUCACUGACUGAAGUUACUUUCUGAGUCACUGCUGCAGAGAUUGGGUGGCUGAAGGAUGCUCAGCCUUCCAGGCAGCUUACUUACUGUUGAAGGGGUGUUUUCAUUUUCCAGUGUUUUCCCACAGGUUUCCACAUCCUCAUGCUCAUUGUACUUCUGAUUAUCAGGCUGCCACUGACCUGUCCAAAAGAAGGCUCUCACCUGGAAAAGCAAAGCAUAUAGCCUCUUGUAUUACAUACAGAGUAGCAAUUUUUUUCUAAUAAGAAAAAGCAGUGCUUAUUUCCAGGUAAGGGGUACAGGAAACAAUGUGUCGCCCUUCAAAGUCAACUUCUGUAUUCUAAUAAGGUAUUAAUUACAGCUAUAUAGGAUCUAAAUAAAUAUUCUUUUUUUUUGGGAGUUUUAUUUAAA